rnacentral:rRNA from 1 species
GAUGAACGCUAGCGGCAGGCCUAAUACAUGCAAGUCGGACGGGAUUUGGGAGCCUGCUCCUAAUGAGAGUGGCGCACGGGUGCGUAACACGUAUGUAACCUACCUUAAUCAGGGGGAUAGCCUCUCGAGAGAGAGAUUAACACCGCAUAACAUAUUUUUAUGGCAUCGUAGAAAUAUCAAAUAUUUAUAGGAUUAAGAUGGGCAUGCGGAACAUUAGCUAGUUGGUAAGGUAACAGCUUACCAAGGCUACGAUGUUUAGGGGAUCUGAGAGGAUGACCCCCCACACUGGUACUGAGACACGGACCAGACUCCUACGGGAGGCAGCAGUAAGGAAUAUUGGUCAAUGUGCGCAAGCCUGAACCAGCCACGCCACGUGCAGGAAGACGGCCCUAUGGGUUGUAAACUGCUUUUGUACAGGAAUAAACCCUUUUACGUGUAAAAGGCUGAAGGUACGGUAAGAAUAAGGAUCGGCUAACUCCGUGCCAGCAGCCGCCGUAA